ACUCAUACUUGGCAGUUACAAGGUGGUUCACCCAGGCUCAGCCAUUGCACUCCGGUUGCGCUGACCCCUGCGAAUUCCCCAAAUGUGGGAGUCUCGACUGCAUAAUUUCUGGUAGUGGGGGACUGCGUUCGCGCUCUCCCCUG
rnacentral:snRNA from 1 species